CGUAAGGCGCCGAAUGAGUCAUUAAAAAAUUAACAUCAUCCGAUCCCUAGUCGGCAUAGUUUAUGGUUAAGACUACGACGGUAUCUGAUCGUCUUCGAUCCCCCUAACUUUCGUUCUUGAUUAAUGAAAACAUCCUUGGCAAAUGCUUUCGCAGUAGUUAGUCUUCAAUAAAUCCAAGAAUUUCACCUCUGACAAUUGAAUACUAAUGCCCCCAACUAUCCCUAUUAAUCAUUACGUCAAUCCUAGAAACCAACAAAAUAGGAUCGAACGUCCUAUUUCAUUAUUCCAUGCUAAUGUAUUCAAGCGUUAGCUUGCUUUAAACACUCUAAUUUUUUCAAAGUAACAGUCCUGAUUUCCCAAGACACCAAAUUAAUGACAUCAAGGUUCGUCAGAAGGGAGAAACCAAAAAUAUCAGUACGUACCGAGGCACGACCAACAUAUUAGUCCCGAAAUUCAACUACGAGCUUUUUAACUGCAACAACUUUAAUAUACGCUAUUGGAGCUGGAAUUACCGCGGCUG
rnacentral:rRNA from 1 species